CUCGGGGAGGAGGGGUCCCUCAGCCCAGAUUGUGAGAGGGUGCAGGCCAGGCCGAGGGACCCCAUCGGUGCAGG
rnacentral:pre_miRNA from 1 species